AUGAUAGCAACAUUUGAUGUUGCUGUGAGGCAAGGGAAAAGGCUAGCUGACUUCCCACAGUCCUUUCCCACCCUAUUUUCCUACGGUUCUGUGUGACUUGCAUCUCCACGCAAGCCUAGAUGUUAAAAGUGAAAUGGGAAGUCUGAUUAGAAAAGAAAUCCAGGGUUUCCCUAAUGAAGUUAAGUGACUAAAUGAGGAAAACGAAUGAUGACCAUAAUACGUUCCAGCCUAGAUGCUGCAUGCAGCUGUCUGUGCUUUCCAGACUGGGAGUAAUUCAGCCUCCUGGCCAUCACUUUUUUUGCAGUAGAAGAAAUAUUCUUAUUUGACCAGCAACAGAACCACCGUUGUGAUUCCCAGCUGUGCACAGCAACAGAUGACUUCCUCCAAAAGACCCUGCUUUCAUGAUUAAUUCUCCAAUGCUACGAUGCCACUGCACACACCUGCCACCACUUUCUCGUACCUAGCUCUGGGGUGCAAUCUCCACGCCAGGGUCACUGCAUGAGCCCCAUGGGUGCUCGAGCUGGUCCUCGGGGAUCUACCUUAAAACUGCCGAGGGAGCCGGCGGCAGAGCCGUGGACGGACGCUAGGACUCCCCAGUCUUGYAUCUGCGCUUCCAGCUCAGCAUUGCCCUCCUGCUCCGCCGUGGCGGGGAGCUGCUCCUUGGGGCAUCAGGCACCUUCUCGCACCUGGUUUUCUGGAGGCCCAGCAGGACCCUGAUCCCAUGAGUCAGAGCACCCUCAGCAUCUUGGCUGCUGUUUUUAUAACUAUAGCACCAUUUACCUGAAACAGGUUUUCUGCAGUUUCAUAGCUCGGUUCAUGUUUUUAACGUCACUCAUGCUGCUACCUGUUUAACACACGUUAAAGCAGCGUGACAACAUGUGCUGGCCCCAACAGGGUGUCUCUCCGCCAGGCUGGACCGUACUGCGCUGCCUGCCGGGGGAGCGCAAAGCGCUGCUGUCGGGAGACGACGUCAGCAGGCGGCACGGAUCGAGGCCCCUCUCCCCUUCCCCGAUGCGGCGGGGGGCUGGCAAGGUCCGUCUCCUUCCCGCCUGCUUAGCCGAAGCGCGGCCCGGAGUUCGGUGGAGGCAGCUCAGCGAACGUCAGCGCUGGCCUCACUGUGCUGCAUUGUUUUUGUGGGUGUCUGCACCUUUCAGGCGAGCGCCAAUUAGGAGGGGGGCAGGCGAGAGGAGAGAAAGGAAGCAAACAGAGGCAAAGCGAUUCAGCUCGCAGCAAAUCUGCAGCCUGUUUGCCAGACAGAUGGAACCACGUAGUCGAUGGCUUUGCUGCAGCCGGGCCCCCGAGCAGGAAGGAAGCCAGCUCUCUGCAAAGGAUGGGCUUGGUCCAGCAACGAGCACAUCCCUGUGA
ensembl:lncRNA